CAUGGCAGCCAGUAUGACCUUUAGUUCCCUGCGUACUUGGGCCGCUCAGCGGCCCAUUUUUUUGCGCUUG
rnacentral:misc_RNA from 1 species